AGCGGGAUAGAGCAGAGGUCAGCUCGGGAGACUCAUAACCUCCAGGUCGCAGGUUCGAAUCCUGCUCCCGCUAC
rnacentral:tRNA from 1 species